rnacentral:rRNA from 1 species
UAGAGUUUGAUCCUGGCUCAGAUUGAACGCUGGCGGCAGGCCUAACACAUGCAAGUCGAGCGGUAACAGGACUAGCUUGCUAGUUGCUGACGAGCGGCGGACGGGUGCGUAACACGUAGGAAUCUGCCCGGUAGUGGGGGAUAGCCCGGAGAAAUCCGGAUUAAUACCGCAUACGCCCUAUGGGGGAAAGCAGGGGACCCGUUUCUUUUAUAAGGAGCGAACCUUGCGCUAUCGGAUGAGCCUGCGUCGGAUUAGCUGGUUGGUGGGGUAAAGGCCUACCAAGGCGACGAUCCGUAGCUGGUCUGAGAGGAUGAUCAGCCACACUGGGACUGAGACACGGCCCAGACUCCUACGGGAGGCAGCAGUGGGGAAUAUUGCACAAUGGGCGCAAGCCUGAUGCAGCCAUGCCGCGUGUGUGAAGAAGGCCCUAGGGUUGUAAAGCACUUUCAGCGAGGAGGAAAGGUUCAAGGUUAAUACCCUUGAGCUGUGACGUUACUCGCAGAAGAAGCACCGGCUAACUCCGUGCCAGCAGCCGCGGUAAUACGGAGGGUGCGAGCGUUAAUCGGAAUUACUGGGCGUAAAGCGUGCGUAGGCGGCUUGUUAAGUUGGAUGUGAAAGCCCCGGGCUCAACCUGGGAACGGCAUCCAAAACUGGCAAGCUCGAGUGCGGAAGAGGAGUGUGGAAUUUCCUGUGUAGCGGUGAAAUGCGUAGAUAUAGGAAGGAACACCAGUGGCGAAGGCGACACUCUGGUCUGACACUGACGCUGAGGUACGAAAGCGUGGGGAGCAAACAGGAUUAGAUACCCUGGUAGUCCACGCCGUAAACGAUGUCUACUAGUCGUCGGGGAUCUUGCAUUUCUGGUGACGCAGCUAACGCGAUAAGUACACCGCCUGGGGAGUACGGCCGCAAGGUUAAAACUCAAAUGAAUUGACGGGGG